rnacentral:lncRNA from 1 species
AAGGCAGCGGCGGAGCCUCAGCGAGCACAGAAAAACCGUGGGGAGACAUGAGAGGGAAAAGUUGCAGCCGGGGAUGGGGUUGGAAAGGCAAGAAGAGAGUCUCAGGUGGGGAAGGGUAGGGGGAGGCUGGAGCAGGGAUCUGGGCUGGAGGAAGCAGAGCGGGCCUGGACUGGGGACGAGGGAGGAUGGAUAAACAUGACAGUGGGAAGAACGUGGCCCCUGGGGCAGGAGGAGGCCAUCCAUUCACCCUGGUGACCUCGUUAAACUCCCUGCCUUAGACUCAGGACAAGCAGAUGGGCAGGAUUCAUUUGUGUCCUGGGGCCGCUGUGGGACAGAGCUUGUCACAAGGCCUUUAGACUUCAUGAAGCUUCCACUGGAGGCUCAGCACCAUUGGGAUCUGUAGGGAGCAUCUGAAAGGACCCAUGUGAAGGGGUGCUGAGAGUUACUGUCUGUGGGGAGCGGGCACAUCUUCGGGCCCUGAGCUGCCUGAGGACAGAGCAGAGGAAGUGGGCUCAGUCGGCACCACACACCGCAGGAGGGGUGGGACUCGUGUGCCAACUGGCCUGUGGCUGCCAGCAUCUGAAAGGUGGUUGGAACUCUUCUAGAGAUGAUGUCCAGAGAUCUGAGAUUCCAAACCUUUCAAGGAUGUGGAUUCCUACAAAGAGGAGAUGAGGAGAUCAAGGGCUUUGGUGAAGGUGGUAGUGGGGGGAGAGCGUGGGAGGGGGGAGCCCAGGGAGAGGGUGGCAGACAGGAAGAAGCUAGACAGACAGGAGGCGUCUCUCCCCUCCCUGCCCCCAUCACUGUCCCAAAUUGCCCAUCCCUUUCUGUUCAGCUCCCCUCUGCAUCGCUGGUCAGGCACCAGAAGGGUGGACACCACGGGCCAGUGGUGUGGAUGAGAGGGAGGGAAGGGUCAUGAGUUAGCCUCCUGUGCACUUUUAAACCCCCUGUUCUCACUUCCUGCCGGUGCAAAAAUAACCCUGCCCCUCUGACUUAUCUCAGCAAAGACUGGUGCCCAGCCCGGCUCAGAGGGCAAUGGGACAGGUCCCAGAGGGUCACUGAGGACAAAAAGAGCCUGGACCCCCCAUACACACAUGGGGAGCUGCAGAACAGGGACUCGGGGGUGGGAGGAAAGUGUGUGUGUGUGUGAGUGUGUGUGUGUGUGGCGUGAAGGCUGGGGUUGGAGGGGGCAGUUCCCAGGGUCUCUCUUUGCCCCUCAGUGCCUUGUGGCUGGGAUCUGCAUGUGCACACCUGCAGCCAUCUGUGCUCCUGAAGCUGCCUGCUCGCUCUUAUGUCUGGGGUCAGGUGUGUGUGUGUGUGUGUGAUGUGUGUGUGUGAAGGUGGGGGCUGUGCCUGCUGUGUGUGCUUCCUCCCCACCAGCUGCCCGUGCCUCUGUGAACACGCAUGUGUGUUACAGGCUGCAUUACACAUGGAUUUAUAUGUUCUAGGGAAUCUUGGUGCACACCCCUCAGUUUACUGGCACCUCCACGCGGCCUUGCAUGCGCACGUGUGUGUAGUGAUGUGCUCAUGUGACUGCAGCCGCAGGCAGGCUGAGGUUACUGAGCCUGUGUGGGCCCCCACGUCCCCCCUUCUCCCUGGUGAAAUGAAAUCCCAGUGUCCCCGCUUUUCUGGGGCAGCCACUAUAUCUUUGCUUUACAUUCCCCCCAACCCCUGCCCCCCAAACCUGACCUCUCGCUGGAGGCGGGAGAAAGGAGAGGGCCCUUCCGCCCCUCCCCCACGUCUAGAGCCCUCCUUCCAUUUCCUGUUUGCCUCCUUUUUGGCAGUUUUUCCCAUCUUUGCCAUCUGGCCUGGCACUGUGCCCAUUCAGCUCCACUGAUGGGGAGCCCCAGGGAAGCAAGCAGAUGGGGUGGGGACCAAGGCAGCGGCCCGGCAGCUCUCAAGGCUCAGCUUGGGCCAUUUUGCGUGGUCUGUGGGAAAGGGGUGGACACACAAACCCACAGGCUUCUCAGAAAUAGAGCGAUGGCCAUCUGCUCGCCUGAAGGUGCCUAAUUCUACCUCUUAAGUAGCAACUCACCUAAUACAUGUUGAUCUCUUUAACACUGUAAUUUUGUGAACCAAAGACCUGGGAUCUUGGGAAAUAAUCAUUUGUUCACUUGUUCAGGGGCUAGUAGGUGCCUCCUGGCUAUAAGGGGCUAUUGAUUCUCCAGAGAAUGGUUAAGAAUGAUAAAAAUGUUACUGUAACUCUAGCCUAAACUGUUAUUGAAGUUUUACUGCCAGCUGUUUGCAAACAAGCCUUUUCAAAGGGACGUGGCCUUUCCCUGAGUUAUACAUGGGGACAGGAGUGUGAUAAGAAGUGGUUGGCUGACUGGGGUGAUCCAAGAAAUAUCACAACAGGGUUAUAGGCUGGGCAGACCUGGGCAGGAAGGGACAGAUUUCCUGCCAGGCAGCCAAUGGCUGUCCCCAGGCACUGCUAAAUAGAGACUGCAGUGUGAGUGCAAUUGGGAAGAAAGCAGUAGAAGGUGUGGUCUCCACCCCCAACCCUAGGACCCUACCAUCUAGAUGGGGAAAUGCGGUAAAUACACAUGACACAGACUGAGACGUUCAAACCAGCCAACUAAGUGCUUCGAUAGGUCAGGGAAAAAUCAUCAGGAAGGGCGCAUUUCCAUGUGUGUGAAGGGAGAUGGGUGAGUGUUACUAGUGUUUGACGUGGGAGAAAGAAGGAAAUGGGGUCUAAAACGUAUACGUCCAAUUGGACAAAUGAGGAAGUAAAAACAGUUCACCUGUGGGCACAGAUUUCAGACAGGCAGCUAUAAAAGACAGGUGCUCCGUGCGGCAGGCAGCCUCACACCCCCACGCCCACUCUUGUUGGAAGCAACUUGGACUCUGGAACCAGGAUGUCCUGAGUCCUGACUUUACUCCUCACUGUCUGAGCUCUUGAGUAAAAAUCAGGAGCAGCAGCUACCUCGAAGGGCUGCUGGAAGGAUUAGAGCUUGUGCGGUACACAACACCCUGGGGAGUCCCUUGCUGCCCCAGCAGGUUAGGGAUGGGGCGUCAUCACUUCUGUGGCUCUGGUUACUGCUGUGGCCUGGGUUCAAGCCCUGGCCCAGGAACUUCUGCAUGCCACAGGUGGCCAAAAAAAUCCUGGGAAUUAGCAGAUGCAAACUAUUAUAUACAGCAUGGGUAAACAAAAAGUUCUAUUGUACAGCACAGGGAACUCUAAUCAAUAUCCUGUGAUAAACCACAAUGGAAAAGAAUAUAUAUGUGUGUAAUAUGUAUAUUUAUAAAUAUAUAUAUAUAUAUCUGAAUCCCUUUGCUGUACAGCAGAAAUUAACACAACAUUGUAAAUCAACUAUACUUCAAUAAAAUAAAUGAAAACCAAAAACACCCUGGAGUUCUCUUGUGGCAUGGCAGGUUAAGUUUCUCACCUUGUCACUGGCGUGGCUCAGGUCACUGCUGUGGGGCGAGGAUUCAAUCCCUGCCCAGGGAAUGUCCACAUGCCACAGGUGUGGCAAAAAAAAAAAAAAAAAAAAAA